CCUCAUGGAGGGGUAGGAUAAGGGGGUGUGUUGAGGAGUCUAUGGGAGGGGUAGGAAGGGGGGUAGGGGAGAUAGGGGGUGUUGAGGACUCUAUGGGCUGGAAAUGGGGCUGGAGGAGUCAAUGGAGGAACCAACAGCUCGACAAGGUGAUGGGGGGAUCCCAAAGGAGCUCGAUGGAUGGAGACGGUGUUGGAGGACCCAAUAAUGGCGUUAAAGGUGAAGGAUGAGGCUCCAGAGCAACUCAAUACCAUAGAGAUGGUGUUGGAGGACUCAAAAGUGCCAUUAAAAGUAAAGGAGGAGGCUCUAGAACCCCUUAAUGUGAUGGAGACGGUGUUGGAGGACUCAAAAGUGCCAUUAGAAGUAAAGGAAGAGGCUCCAAAUGACAUUAAUGUGAUGGAGACGGUGUUGGAGGACUCGUCUAUGGUAUUAAGGGUGAAAGAGGAGCCUUUAGAACACCAGGAAGUGAUGGAGACGGUGUUGGAGGACUCGUCUAUGGCACUGAGGGGGAUAGAGCGGCCCUCUAUGUCAAUGGAGACGGUGUUGGAGGACUCGUCUAUGGCACUGAGGGGGAUAGAGCGGCCCUCUAUGUCAAUGGAGACGGUGUUGGAGGACUCAAAGGUGCCAUUAAAGAUAAAGGAAGAGGCUCCAGAUGACAUUAAUGUGAUGGAGACGGUGUUGGAGGACUCGUCUAUGGUAAUGAGGGGGAUAGAGCGGCCCUCUAAGGCAAUGGAGACGGUGUUGGAGGACUCUAUGAUAGAGAUAAAGGUGAAGGAGGAGGAUCCAGAGCAGCUCGAUACCAUAGAGAUGGUGUUGGAGGACUCAUCUAUGGUAUUGAGUGGGAUAGAGCGGCCUCCCAAGGAGUUGGAGGACUCAUCUAUGGUAUUGAGUGGGAUAGAGCGGCCUACCAAGGUGUUGGAGGACUCAUCUAUGGUAUUGAGUGGGAUAGAGCGGCCUCCCAAGGUGUUGGAGGACUCUAUGGUACUGAGUGGGAUAGAGCGGCCCUCUAAGUCAAUGGAGACGGUGUUGGAGGACUCAUCUAUGGCAUUAAGGGGGAUAGAGCAGCCUUACUUGGAGGACUCUAUGGUACUGGGGGGGAUAGAGCGGCCUACCAAGGUGUUGGAGGACUCAUCUAUGGUACUGAGUGGGAUAGAGCAGCCCUCUAAAUCAAUGGCAACGGUAUUGGAGGACUCAUCUAUGGCAUUAAGGGGGAUAGAGCGGCCUUACUUGGAGGACUCUAUGGUACUGAGGGGGAUAGAGCGGCCUCCCAAGGAGUUGGAGGACUCAUCUAUGGUACUGAGUGGGAUAGAGCGGCCUCCCAAGGAGUUGGAGGACUCAUCUAUGGUACUGAGUGGGAUAGAGCGGCCCUCUAAAUCAAUGGCAACGGUGUUGGAGGACUCAUCUAUGGUACUGGGGGGGAUAGAGCGGCCUCCCAAGGUGUUGGAGGACUCAUGGCCGCCGUUGUCGGUGUGUUACGGGGAGGGGGAGGGGUGAGAAUAAAGAACCUUCGUGUCCCCA
rnacentral:lncRNA from 1 species